GGAGAGGUGGGUGAGUGGCUGAAACCACCGGUUUGCUAAACCGGCGUACGUAGCAAUACGUACCGGGGGUUCGAAUCCCCCCCUCUCCG
rnacentral:tRNA from 1 species